rnacentral:rRNA from 1 species
GACGAACGCUGGCGGCGUGCUUAACACAUGCAAGUCGAACGGAAAGGCCCUGCUUUUGUGGGGUGCUCGAGUGGCGAACGGGUGAAUAACACGUGAGUAACCUGCCCUUGACUUUGGGAUAACUUCAGGAAACUGGGGCUAAUACCGGAUAGGAGCUCCUGCUGCAUGGUGGGGGUUGGAAAGUUUCGGCGGUUGGGGAUGGACUCGCGGCUUAUCAGCUUGUUGGUGGGGUAGUGGCUUACCAAGGCUUUGACGGGUAGCCGGCCUGAGAGGGUGACCGGCCACAAUGGGACUGAGAUACGGCCCAGACUCCUACGGGAGGCAGCAGUGGGGAAUAUUGCACAGUGGGCGGAAGCCUGAUGCAGCAACGCCGCGUGCGGGAUGACGGCCUUCGGGUUGUAAACCGCUUUCGCCUGUGACGAAGCGUGAGUGACGGUAGUGGGUAAAGAAGCACCGGCUAACUACGUG